rnacentral:lncRNA from 1 species
CUCGAUGUAGUUGAUCAGUUAGUCUACAUACACACAUACACAGAAACUGGUAUACUUUGCAAUCACACACAAAUAAAAAGAAAAAUCACUGGACCGUGUCACCUUUACAUAGAAAACAAGGCAGGUACGUGGUGGGGUCCUGUGUAUAUAUACAGACAUUUUCCUUCAAAGGUUACAAUUGAAUGCUGCAUUUACCAUUGCACAGACCUCCUCCACAACGCACAAUUUGGGGCUUGAGUAUAUCUCAAAGAGAAACGACAAAGUUAGCAAUAGAAAAGGAAGAAAAACCUCACGGUGAAAUAUUCUACAGAUCUCAACUUUACAGCUGACGGUUGUAAGUUCGAAAGAUCUCAAAGAGAGAAGAAUAUAAACAAAGAAAGCAGAACAAUAAGAGCAAGCGUAGUCAAAUAUUCUAAAAGUGAGAAUUUGCCGAGUGAUUUGCUGCAGGAAUUCUUGGUCGAGGAAAGUAACACCAAAAAGAAGCGCAAUGGUUU